CAGACUCGCACCUCCAGGGUCAAGACGCUGUGGUUCCACAUAAGCGGCUCGCGGUGACCACUUCUUUCAGGUCACUCUCGGGUUUCCCGGCCACCAUAAAGGGCCACGUCUGCAGGAGAGAAGAGAGUGGAGGAGAAGCUGACAUAGCCCCUCCAACCUCCUUCAACCACCACCUUGAUCCAUCAGAAACCACCAAUAUUGAGGCAAGACCCUCCAUCAGAAAAAGACUGACUUGCUGAAAGCUCCAGUGAUGGUUAGCAUUUUUCAUCAAUAAGAGAGAGUGAGAGAAACAGAGACAGCACAACCAUGAGGGGCACAGGGAGGAGAGAGAAUCUCAAGCAAAGACUCUGCAGUGAGCAAGGAGCCCAAUACAGGGCUCAAUCUCACAACCCAGAGAUCGUGAUCUGAGCUGAAAGCAAGAGUUGGAUGCUUAACCAACUGUGCCA